CCCUUGAAAGCACAAGAAAAGCAGACUAAGGGCCGAGCCUCAUUAAAACCUUUUUGCAGAAAACCCAGUGGGAAAAACCGCAAAAAGGAAAAAGAGUACCCGUCUAAAAGACAAAAGCAGAAAAGGGAGAGAGCGGAAGGGAAAGUUUCCAGAACUCCGGCCUAACCAUCGUCCCCAAACAAACCCGGCUCUCCACCCAAGAAAACAAAACAAAGGCCAAAGGCCAGUUAGACGCCGUCGCCUAAAAGCCAACAAAAAACAAACACAAAACAAAAAG
rnacentral:lncRNA from 1 species